rnacentral:rRNA from 1 species
CUCAGAACGAACGCUGGCGGCGUGCUUAACACAUGCAAGUCGGAUGCGAACGGCGCUUUCGGGCGUUGAGUAGCAUGGCAGACGGGUGAGGAGCGCGUAUCUGACUGGACUCAGGCUGGGGGAUAGUCCCGCGAAAGGGGGUUGAAUACCGCAUGUGCUCGGUGCUGUGAGGGCAUCGAGGAAAGUUGGCCUCUGCGGGCACGCUGAUGGCCUGAGACAGGGAUGCGUCCUAUUAGCUAGCUGGUGGGGUAAGGGCCUACCAGGGCGACGAUGGGUAGCUGGUCUGAGAGGAUGAUCAGCCACACUGGGACUGCGACACGGCCCAGACUCCUACGGGAGGCAGCAGUGGGGAAUUUUGCGCAAUGGGCGCAAGCCUGACGCAGCAACGCCGCGUGCAUGACGACGCCUUUCGAGGUGUAAAGUGCUGUCGACCGGGACGAAGGGGCGAGGGUGAACAGCUUUCGCGCAUGACGGUACCGGUGGAGGAAGCCCCGGCUAACUCCGUGCCAGCAGCCGCGGUAAGACGGAGGGGCGAGCGUUGUUCGGAAUUACUGGGCGUAAAGCGCGCGUAGGCGGUGCAGCAAGUGGUGCGUGAAAGCCCUCGGCUUAACCGGGGACGGGCGUGCCAAACUGUUGGACUGGAGUGCCGGAGGGGGAGGCGGAAUUCCUGGUGGAGCGGUGAAAUGCGUAGAGAUCAGGAAGAACGUCGGUGGCGAAGGCGGCCUCCUGGACGGACACUGACGCUGAGGUGCGACAGCGUGGGGAGCGAACGGGAUUAGAUACCCCGGUAGUCCACGCCGUAAACGAUGGGUACUAGGUGUGGGGCUUGUGAUGAGGCCCGUGNCGGAGCUAACGCAGUAAGUACCCCGUCUGGGGAGUACGGUCGGCAGGCUGAAACUCCACGGACUUGACGGGGGCCCGGACCAUGCGGUUGAGCAUGUGGU